GACGAACGCUGGCGGCGUGCCUAAUACAUGCAAGUCGAACGCACUCUCGUUUAGAUUGAAGGAGCUUGCUCCUGAUUGAUAAACAUUUGAGUGAGUGGCGGACGGGUGAGUAACACGUGGGUAACCUGCCCUAAAGUGGGGGAUAACAUUUGGAAACAGAUGCUAAUACCGCAUAAAACCUAACACCGCAUGGUGUAGGGUUGAAAGAUGGUUUCGGCUAUCACUUUAGGAUGGACCCGCGGUGCAUUAGUUAGUUGGUGAGGUAAAGGCUCACCAAGACCGUGAUGCAUAGCCGACCUGAGAGGGAAUCGGCCACACUGGGACUGAGACACGGCCCAGACUCCUACGGGAGGCAGCAGUAGGGAAUCUUCCACAAUGGACGAAAGUCUGAUGGAGCAACGCCGCGUGAGUGAAGAAGGUUUCGGAUCGUAAAACUCUAGUUGUUGGUAGAAGAAUAGUAUACUGAUAGUAACUGAUCAGGUAGUGACGGUAUCCAACCAG
rnacentral:rRNA from 1 species